CAGCGCCACGAGUGGGAACCACGUUUAUUGGGCCUAAAGCGUCCGUAGCCGGGUCAUCAAAUCUUUUGUGAAAUUGUUGGGCUUAACUCAACGAAUUGCAAGAGACACUAAUGAUCUUGGGACCGGGAGAAGUCAGAGGUAUGGAUGGGGGAGCGGUAAAAUGUUAUAAUCCCUUCUAGACCACCUGUGGCAAAGGCGUCUGACUAGAACGGAUCCGACGGUGAGGGACGAAAGCUAGGGGAGCAAACCGGAUUAGAUACCCGUGUAGUCC
rnacentral:rRNA from 1 species